AUUGAACGCUGGCGGCAUGCCUUACACAUGCAAGUCGAACGGCAGCAUGAUCUAGCUUGCUAGAUUGAUGGCGAGUGGCGAACGGGUGAGUAAUACAUCGGAACGUGCCCUGUAGUGGGGGAUAACUAGUCGAAAGAUUAGCUAAUACCGCAUACGACCUGAGGGUGAAAGUGGGGGACCGCAAGGCCUCAUGCUAUAGGAGCGGCCGAUGUCUGAUUAGCUAGUUGGUGAGGUAAAGGCUCACCAAGGCGACGAUCAGUAGCUGGUCUGAGAGGACGAUCAGCCACACUGGGACUGAGACACGGCCCAGACUCCUACAGGAGGCAGCAGUGGGGAAUUUUGGACGAUGGGGGCAACCCUGAUCCAGCAAUGCCGCGUGUGUGAAGAAGGCCUUCGGGUUGUAAAGCACUUUUGUCCGGAAAGAAAUCGCACUUACUAAUAUUAGGUGUGGAUGACGGUACCGGAAGAAUAAGGACCGGCUAACUACGUGCCAGCAGCCGCCGUAAGAC
rnacentral:rRNA from 1 species